GUCACUUUAUUGUUAAACAGACAAUGAAUGCAGGAUCAAUGCUAAAGAUGGGAAGCCUACGUUUCCAACUCAGCUCUGUGAUCUGACAGCACGGAGACGUUGAUUAUCAAGGUUCUCCCGAAUCUGAUGAUGUGCUCCUGUACCACGGGCUUGUCGCAGCCAUGUUAAGCACAGCAGUGAUGCUCGUGGCAUUAAAUGGGAAUGUGAGCCCUUCCAGACCCCUCACCCAGGAAAGCAGCUGCCCUCACUGACCAAUUAAAUUGCCUUCCCUCUCAUUAAAACCCUUGUGCAGGCUCUGACAUCUCCUCUGGGCCAUAUUGAAAGACCUGAGCUGAUUGGAACUGCUGAAUCUGUAGGGAGGAUUUCAAGAGAGCUCUGAGUACUGGGACAUGGGAGGUGUGCAAGGAGUGGGGAGGAAAAUUCUAGCCCUCCCCCCUUCCCUUUGGCAAGGAAGUGUCUGCUGGGGCUGAAGCCUGUGGGAAUCCCUGCUCUCAUGCAGCAGCUUCUCUCUCCCACCUACAACAAAACAACAGUGAAUCAUUAGAAACUGAUCUCAGAGUGUGGAUUCCAACCAGAUUUGUGUUGUGUCUUCAACUUGGGCAUUCAUGCACUUGUGAAUGUCAUGUGGGAAAAGUUACAUGCCUCAAUAGCACUGAGGCAGGCGCUCACCGCGAGCCUGGAAAUGUUCUUGGUGAUGGAGCUGAGACACAUGAAUUUACCGAGGGCAGGAGUGAAAGGCAAUUUGGUGCAGAUUUUGUAACAGAGAGGAGGCACGGAAGAUGGUUAAUGUGA
rnacentral:lncRNA from 1 species